CACGGGGGGAGCAAGCGUUGUUCGGAAUCACUGGGCGUAAAGGGUGCGUAGGCGGCCAUGUAAGUGAGAUGUGAAAUCCCUCGGCUCAACCGAGGAACUGCGCUUCAUACUGCAUGGCUUGAGGGAGACAGGGGUAAGCGGAACUGAUGGUGGAGCGGUGAAAUGCGUUGAUAUCAUCAGGAACACCGGUGGCGAAAGCGGCUUACUGGGUCUCUUCUGACGCUGAGGUACGAAAGCUAGGGUAGCGAACGGG
rnacentral:rRNA from 1 species